rnacentral:rRNA from 1 species
UACGGAGGGUGCAAGCGUUGCUCGGAAUUAUUGGGCGUAAAGCGCACGCAGGCGGCGUGGUAAGUCAGUUGUGAAACUCCCGGGCUUAACUUGGGAACUGCAGCUGAUACUGCCAUGCUUGAGUACGGAAGAGGGGAGUGGAAUUCCCAGUGUAGAGGUGAAAUUCGUAGAUAUUGGGAGGAACACCGGCGGCGAAGGCGGCUCCCUGGUCCGAUACUGACGCUCAUGUGCGAAAGCGUGGGGAGCAAACAGG